UGGGAAUUUGGACAAUGGGCGAAAGCCUGAUCCAGCAAUGCCGCGUGUGUGAAGAAGGCCUUCGGGUUGUAAAGCACUUUUGUCCGGAAAGAAAUCCUUGGCUCUAAUACAGUCGGGGGAUGACGGUACCGGAAGAAUAAGCACCGGCUAACUACGUGCCAGCAGCCGCGGUAAUACGUAGGGUGCAAGCGUUAAUCGGAAUUACUGGGCGUAAAGCGUGCGCAGGCGGUUUGCUAAGACCGAUGUGAAAUCCCCGGGCUCAACCUGGGAACUGCAUUGGUGACUGGCAGGCUAGAGUAUGGCAGAGGGGGGUAGAAUUCCACGUGUAGCAGUGAAAUGCGUAGAGAUGUGGAGGAAUACCGAUGGCGAAGGCAGCCCCCUGGGCAAGUACUGACGCUCAUGCACGAAAGCGU
rnacentral:rRNA from 1 species